CUAGAUUUGUAUGUUGGGACGCUACCCUUCCUGACAUUUAGUACAUUGCUAUUUCUACUUUAGAUUUACUGUUAUUUGAAUAUGUGUUUAGUUUUAUUGUGUUUGGUCUCACCACAAUCUCUCUGGGACCUAGCUAUAUUAUCUCAGAGAGACUUCAAUUUCAUACAACAUUAACUACGAUGAAGAUGGAAUAGAGGCUGAAAAACUGAUAUAUGCGGAGAAGCUACUAAUGUGUAGUUGAAAACAAGUGUGAAUGUAUAUGCCCCAUGGUUGGGAUCUGCAUGAAUAUGCAUUAGCAUGAGAAGAUAUAGGCCAUAGAGAUGAACAACAUUAGGUAAAUAAAGGAUUAUUAGGAUCUUUAUAAAUAAAAAUAGGAAAUUAAUCUGGGAAAUUGGAAUCUUCCUACUAUCUCUUCUCCCAGACCUGGAACACGAGCCACAUGUUUUGUUGCCAUUAUCCCAUGAUUUGCAUGUAAUGCUGCAUAUGCACACUUCUUACCAGAUGGCAUAAAACAGUACAAAUAAACAAUGUUAUUUUUGUAUGUAUGUGUACAGUAUAG